rnacentral:tRNA from 1 species
GACCUCGUGGUGCAAUGGUAGUGCAUCUGACUCCAGAUCAGAAGGCUGUGUGUUCGAAUUAUGUUGAGGUCA